GACAGAGGAUGCAAGCGUUAUCCGGAAUGAUUGGGCGUAAAGCGUCUGUAGGUGGCUUUUCAAGUCCGCCGUCAAAUCCCAGGGCUCAACCCUGGACAGGCGGUGGAAACUACCAAGCUGGAGUACGGUAGGGCAGAGGGAAUUUCCGGUGGAGCGGUGAAAUGCCGUAGAGAUCGGAAAGAACACCAAUGGCGAAAGCACUCUGCUGGGCCGACACUGACACUGAGAGAACGAAAGCUAGGGGAGCAAAUGGG
rnacentral:rRNA from 1 species